UAUAAAGCCUGCUGUCGCGGUUGGUGGCGUUCUUUUCUCUUCUGCUGCUCUGUCGUGGUGGAGCUUAAAACUGGUCAUGGGAAUUUGUUCUGAACUGGACCGUCGUGAUGCAGCUGGACUUCAUGAUCACCAGUUUUCAGACCAUUUUAACAUCAGGUGUUGGAGAUGACCUCAGGCCUGCAAGGUUUAAUCUCUGGAGCUGCAAGGACAUUAUGUUCCUGGAUUUGAAACGAACGAGUCUCGGUCAGUGGAAAUGGGACCAGUUGGAGAGUCAGUUGUGUCCUGCAUAGGAAGAACAUCCUGAUGAAGUGUCUGUGGUUCCUGUCCAGAUUUUGGCUGUUGAUGGUUGAAACCUAUAACCCACAAGCUGUUCAGAAUGGAAGCUGGAUUGAGUCAGGAGGAGAGCGGCUGCCAGUCAGAGCCAGUCGGCGGUUCGAUCCCCGGUCCACACGUUGGAGUCAUCACCUCCACCCACGAUGAAUAGUUGCUGUGAAGAUGUUCCGAGUGGAAAUGUGUCCAUGUCUAACUUGUCUGAGCUGCAGAGCAGUGACAUGAAUAAAACUUGCUCCUUUA